UUGGUUUUCCAAGAAAAGACAAGAAGUUCUGUUUAGAGUUUUUUUUAGAUUUUAAAGUAAAACUUGUUUAAUAAGUUUUUGUUAAUUAUUAAUGCUAAGCUAAUUGCCUAGCGUGCUUUGUAAUGACUUGCGUAUUUUUUUUUGUUGAAAAACACGCUAAUUUCUUGGGAAAGUCAAGCACAUUUUAUUCGGAAUAGAAAAAUUGUUAUUACGUUUUAAAAUUUGUUAUUUUGAGAAAUUGCGGUUGGAGUAUUGUUAAGCACGAAAUUUAUUUUAACCGCAGAGAUUCGUUAAUAAAAAGUGCUCUAAGAAGUACUUACGGUCUUAUCACAGAGCUCCAAGAAGUACUUACGGUCUUAUCUCCACCGAAUUGCAUUUAACCAUUAAGUUCAAUGCCAACAGUAUUUGUCAUACGCAAAAAAAGUCUUGUGUAAUAUUUCCUACGCAAUCGCUCAACCGUGUAACUGUCAGCAAAUAUUGCAAUCUUCACAAAAAUUCACAAUCUUUUAAGGAAUGAUGUGUCUAAACAAAAAAAAUUAUUUAUAUCUGCAACGUUAUCAAUGUCAUUGUUAUUACCAUAGGAUUACUGUUUCAAGUACAUCUGCAACUUUAAUACCACUGGAUAACUUGUUCAAUUACAUCUGCGACUUUAUUAAUACAGGAUAACUGUUUCAGUUACAUCUGCAACAUUAUUACCACAAAAUGUUUUAAUUAGAUCUGCAAGCACUUACACAUUAUUACCACAAGAUGCUUCAAUUAAUAAAGAUUUCAGGAAAAUACACCAGCAACCAUGUCUAUGAGAAGGGAUGCAUGGUAAUACACCAGCAACAAUUGGUAAUUGCAAUUAAGAAAAUACUCAAUGUAAAAAAACAUGUGUGUAUAAUGCAUAAAGGAAGGAAAAGAAAGGGGAGAUUAUUAAAAUAUUAUAAGCCCAGUGGGCACCCGACGUCAAUCCGACGUCGGAUUUA